AGGAGGUGUGGUUAGUCUCAGGCUGAAAGUCUGAUUAUUCUGGGGGAUUCUGAGCCCACCUGGCAUCAUCUUGGGCCUCACUGCUUUCUCCAUGGUCCGUACCAGCACCUGGUGACGUUCUGCCUGGGUGAGGACGAUGGCGUGCAUACCGUGGAGGAUGCCUCCAGGAAGUUGGCCGUCAUGGAUAGCCAGGGCCGAGUCUGGGCACAGGAGAUGCUGCUGCGAGUGUCUCCCGACCAUGUCACGCUGCUCGACCCGGCCUCCAAGGAGGAGCUGGAGUCGUACCCACUGGGCGCCAUCGUGCGCUGUGACGCGGUGAUGC
rnacentral:lncRNA from 10 species